rnacentral:rRNA from 1 species
GGAAACCUUGACGCAGCAACGCCGCGUGGGUGAUGAAGGCUUUCGGGUCGUAAAGCCCUGUCAGGUGGGAAGAAACACAUCGGUGCUAAUAUCACCGAUGCUUGACGGUACCACCGGAGGAAGCACCGGCUAACUCCGUGCCAGCAGCCGCGGUAAUACGGAGGGUGCAAGCGUUGUUCGGAAUUAUUGGGCGUAAAGCGCGUGUAGGCGGUCAGGCAAGUCAGAUGUGAAAGCCCUCGGCUUAACCGAGGAAGGGCAUUUGAAACUGCUUGGCAGGAGUACGGGAGAGGAGAGUGGAAUUCCCGGUGUAGAGGUGAAAUUCGUAGAUAUCGGGAGGAACACCAGUGGCGAAAGCGGCUCUCUGGCCCAAUACUGACGCUGAGACGCGAAAGCGUGGGGAGCAAACAGGAUUAGAUACCCUGGUAGUCCACGCUGUAAACGAUGAGCACUAGGUGUAGGAGGUAUUGACCCCUUCUGUGCCGCAGCUAACGCAUUAAGUGCUCCGCCU